CUCAGAGCUUCAGGUUGAGACCUAUGGGGAGGUCUCGGCUCCGGAGCUCCAGCCCGAAGUCAACCAGGUGAUCUCGGAGCUCUAGCUAGAGACCUACGGGGAGGUCUCAGCUCCAGAGCUCCCGUCUGAGGUCAACUUUGCGACCUCGGAGCUUCCAUCUGCGGUCAACUAGGCGACCUCUGUGCUCCAGCUUGAGACCUACGGGGAGCUCUCAGCACCGGAGCUCCCACCUGAGGUCAACUUUGUGACAUCGGAGCUCCCAUCUGAGGUCAACCAGACGACCUCAGAACUCCAGCUUGAGAUCUAUGGUGAGGUCUCAGCUCCGGAGCUCCUGCCCGAGGUCAAAACGCUGACAUCGGAGCUCCAGCUAGAGACCUUCAGGGAAGUCUCAGCUCCGGAGCUCCAGCUCGAGAUCAACUUGGCGACCUUGGAGCUCCAGCUUGAGACCUACGGGGAGGUCUCAGCUCCGGAGCUCCAGCGCGAGGUCAACUUGGCGACCUCGGAGCUCCUGCCUGAGGUCAACAUGGCAACCUCAGAGCUCCGGCUAGAGACCUACGGGGAGGUCUAAUCUCCAGAGCUCCCGCCUGAGGUCAACAUGGCGACCUCGGAGCUCCCGCCUGAGGUCAACCAUGUGACCUCAGAGCUCCAGCUUGAGACCUAUGGGGAGGUCUCAGCUCCGGAGCUCCAGCCCGAGGUCAACUUGGCGACUUCGGAGCUCCUGCCCGAGGUCAAAACGCCGACCUUGGAGCUCCGGCUAGAGACUUACGGGGAAGUCUCAGCUCCGGAGCUCCAGCUCGAGAUCAACUUGGCGACCUCGGAGCUCCAGCUUGAGACCUACGGUCAGGUCUCAGCUCUGGAGCUCCCGCCUGAGGUCAACCAGGCGACCUCAGAGCUCCCACCUGAGGUCAACCAGGUGACCUCAGAGCUCCAGCUUGAGACCUAUGGGGAGGUUUCAGCCCUGGAGCUCCAGUGCGAGGUCAACUUGGCAACCUCGGAGCUCCCGUCUGAG
ensembl:lncRNA